UCAUACGACCUUACCAACAUGUAAAUGCCCGAUCUCGUCUGAUCUCGAAAGCUAAGCAUGGUCGGGCCUGGUUGGUACUUGGAUGGGAGUCCGCCUGGGAAUACCAGGUGCUGUAAGGU
ensembl:rRNA 5S_rRNA 5S ribosomal RNA